UACAGAGGGGGCAAGCGUUGUUCGGAAUUACUGGGCGUAAAGGGCGCGUAGGCGGCCUUCUGAGUCGAACGUGAAAUCCCCGGGCUCAACCCGGGAACUGCGUCCGAUACUGGAAGGCUUGAAUCCGGGAGAGGGAUGCGGAAUUCCAGGUGUAGCGGUGAAAUGCGUAGAUAUCUGGAGGAACACCGGUGGCGAAGGCGGCAUCCUGGACCGGCAUUGACGCUGAGGCGCGAAAGCCAGGGGAGCAAACGGG
rnacentral:rRNA from 1 species